CCCUAGUUUCUGGAGACCUAUUAUCAUUGAAAUUGUAAUUUAUAUGCAAUUUACUACAUAAGAUAAUUGAAGGAGUUUAAACGUAAAGUACAUCGCUCUAAUCAAUUUAUGCACAUCUGUUUCAAAUUAAAUCGAUCGGGUUGACUCAGAACUAAGCAAACAGUCAAAGAUGGUACAGUAUUACUAUCAUGUAGAGGUGCUAGUAAAUGCAGUCUACAAAUCUCACUGCAUCAUUAAUAGUUUAAUAUAAAAGUGCUGGACUUGUUGCUUAGUAUAAACAAAGAAGAAGAUGAAGAUGAAAAUAAGUGAUUCACGACAGUGUGAAAUUUUUACUUACCGAAAAACAUGAUGUUGAAAUUAACAGGCA